GCGCGGGUGGAGAAACUGGUAGACUCAUACGCUUGAGGGGCGUAUGCCCGUAAGGGCGUGCAGGUUCAAGUCCUGUCCCGCGCA
rnacentral:tRNA from 1 species